UGUGGUAGUUUAGUGAUUAAGACUUUGGGCUUCUGAUCAGAAGGUUGUGGGUUCAAAUCCCAGCACCACCA